UGGGAGCUCUCCCAUAUGGUCGACCUGCAGGCGGCCGCGAAUUCACUAGUGAUUCGUAUUACCGCGGCUGCUGGCACAGAGUUAGCCGGUGCUUAUUCUGUCGGUAACGUCAAAACACUAACGUAUUAGGUUAAUGCCCUUCCUCCCAACUUAAAGUGCUUUACAAUCCGAAGACCUUCUUCACACACGCGGCAUGGCUGGAUCAGGCUUUCGCCCAUUGUCCAAUAUUCCCCACUGCUGCCUCCCGUAGGAGUCUGGACCGUGUCUCAGUUCCAGUGUGACUGAUCAUCCUCUCAGACCAGUUACGGAUCGUCGCCUUGGUGAGCCAUUACCCCACCAACUAGCUAAUCCGGCCUAGGCUCAUCUGAUAGCGCAAGGCCCGAAGGUCCCCUGCUUUCUCCCGUAGGACGUAUGCGGUAUUAGCGUCCGUUUCCGAGCGUUAUCCCCCACUACCAGGCAGAUUCCUAGGCAUUACUCACCCGUCCGCCGCUCUCAAGAGGUGCAAGCACCUCUCUACCGCUCGACUUGCAUGUGUUAGGCCUGCCGCCAGCGUUCAAUCUGAGCCAUGAUCAAACUCUAAUCGAAUUCCCGCGGCCGCCAUGGCG
rnacentral:rRNA from 1 species